UCAUAAUAGGAAGCCUUGUUAAUUAAAUUCUGUGGUCCCUACUGUGCCUAAAUAAUAGAAAAUAGUGAAAACUGUUACUUAGUGGGAAAGAAAACGUGGAAACCGUCCCUUAGUGGGAGAAGGAAACCUAACAGGUUUUGAAAACGAUUUUGACCUAAAACGCAGCUAUAUAUAUGGAUAUAAGGGCUGGACGAUUUUGACAAGAUUCUGACCGCGGUUUCUACUAGAAUUUUGCCCACCCAAAAUUCUCAAUUUUCGGUUAUUGUUUGGGUAACACAGUAGAAGACUGUGGAAAUCUGCUGGUGUGUUUUCAACUGAGGAACUGGAGAACGAUAUAGAUUUGUUGUGUUUACGCUUCAAGAGGUUUCGAGAAUGUUGCUGAAAUUGUUCUUCUCCUUCACUUUUUUAUCUUCAUCAUCAAAGUAUUCUGCGUACCAGGUAAUUCGGAAGCAAGAAAGGUUCAUGGGCCUACUUUACUAAAAGAUAUUUGGAAACUUCCGCCGGAAAGACAAUUGAUGUACCGUUCAAUAAUCGUAACCAAACUAUUGGGAAAGAGGGUCGAAAUCUUGCUAGCUUUCUAGGAAUUAUUGCAAGAACUCCAAAACUAACACCUCUACAUGUAGAUGAUUGGAGAAAUUUUGACAAGGAGGAAAAGAAGAAAUUGGUGGAUUUUGUGAGGAAGAAAUUCUCUAUUCCAAAACGUGGAGAAGCAUGGAUCUUAAAGUCACUAGGAAAGAAAUGGAAAGACUACAAGUGUGAUUUAAAGGCUGAGUAUGCGCAAAAAUAUAAGACUAAAUAUGCUUUGCUAAAAAAUAGACCACGUCGCAUACUGAGGAUCAAUGGAGUGGUCUUGUCUCUUAUUGGCUUUCUGAUAAAGCUAAGGAAAUGAUAAAUGAAAGGAUGAGCAAUAGUGAGAGAUCUACUAAGCAACCUCCUCGUAGUGUUGCUUGGGAAGGUAAUGUGUAUUCUCAGGUGUUGGGAAAUGAAAAAAUGGGUAUGUUCGUGAUUUAGGACUUGGUCCAACUCCUUCUGUUCUAUGGGGUAGUAGGUCUUCAUUAGGAAAUAUUAUUGCAGAUGAUUCUUCUAAUGAGGUUAUACAAAAGUUAGAACAGAAGAUGAUCGAGUUAAAGGAGAUACAAAAUGAAGAAAUGAGUAUGAUGAAACAAAAUCAGGAGAUGAUGUAAUCAAAAUUACUCCAAAUGAGACAACUCAUGCGCAAAUAUGCUCCUGAUGCAUCUAUGCCUCAAAGUAGCAAUGGCACCUCAGGUGAACAGAUCCAUGAUGCCAAUAGUGGACAUGAACGAGUACCACAAACAUCAAGAAUGCCUAGUGUUGAUGAAAAUGCUCAACCUUCUCAUGGUCAUACCGUCUGAUGUCGGAUAAUUUAGCGGGUGAAAGAUUUCAAAAUGAAGAAAAGUUGCGGAAAUUAUUUGAAGACUAUCAUUCAUCUGGAUUAGUUAUAUAAUGACAUUAGCUAUUUAGUCUAAACAAUGUAUUUUUAUGUUUUAAAUUACUGUGAUAUUAAUAUUUUUGAUUAGUACUUUCUUUUGUUUGUUAAGAUU